GACGAACGCUGGCGGCGUGCUUAACACAUGCAAGUCGAACGGAAAGGCCCUGCUUUUGUGGGGUGCUCGAGUGGCGAACGGGUGAGUAACACGUGAGUAACCUGCCCUUGACUUUGGGAUAACUUCAGGAAACUGGGGCUAAUACCGGAUAGGAGCUCCUGCUGCAUGGUGGGGGUUGGUAAGUUUCGGCGGUUGGGGCUGGACUCGCGGCUUAUCAGCUUGUUGGUGGGGUAGUGGCUUACCAAGGCUUUGACGGGUAGCCGGCCUGAGAGGGUGACCGGCCACAUUGGGACUGAGAUACGGCCCAGACUCCUACGGGAGGCAGCAGUGGGGAAUAUUGCACAAUGGGCGGAAGCCUGAUGCAGCAACGCCGCGUGCGGGAUGACGGCCUUCGGGUUGUAAACCGCUUUCGCCUGUGACGAAGCGUGAGUGACGGUAAUGGGUAAAGAAGCACCGGCUAACUACGUG
rnacentral:rRNA from 1 species